rnacentral:rRNA from 1 species
UACGAAGGGGGCUAGCGUUGCUCGGAAUUAUUGGGCCUAAAGCAUCCGUAGCCGGUUCUACAAGUCUUCCGUUAAAUCCACCUGCUUAACAGAUGGGCUGCGGAAGAUACUAUAGAGCUAGGAGGCGGGAGAGGCAAGCGGUACUCGAUGGGUAGGGGUAAAAUCCGUUGAUCCAUUGAAGACCACCAGUGGCGAAGGCGGCUUGCCAGAACGCGCUCGACGGUGAGGGAUGAAAGCUGGGGGAGCAAACCGG